AGAGUUACUCAUGCAUGAGUUGCCUUUCAAACUAAUCACUCAGAUAGGGGCUAAUGAGAAUCAUUACUCAGGUAAUUUUUAAAGCAAUUUCCGUUGUUUUUUAAGGGUUAUCAUUGAAGAAAUUAUGAGUUCUAAAGGAAAAUUCAACAAAAUAUGAGAGAAGGAACAAAGAUGUCAAAAGAAGAAAAGUAGAAUUUGGAAGCAAGAAAAGAAAGGAAGUUGUUGGAGAAAAUAUGGUGUGAUUUAAACGCAUUUGAAUCCAUAUUUUCAGCAAAUAUUACAUCAUGACAUUUGUCGGAUAAUUUGAUCAUAUCUUAAGCAUCAUAACUCUGAUUGAGGUGGGGCAAUCGACAAAUAAAAGCUAACAAAAAGAUCUAGCUACAAAAAAAUUGUGCCAUGAUUCAAAGCAGUCCUGCAUGAUUUAAUGCAUUUUUUAUGUCUUUAAAAGGAAAAAAAAUAGAUUUUACAAGUGUUGAACUUUUUGGAGAGCUAUUUUCAUAGUAGAAAUGAUCGAGCAACAAGGAUUAAAGGUGUUUCUCCAAAUUUAUGUAUCAUUCUUCUAAACUUGUUUCUAUGAAUAAUUUUAUUAUGGGUAGAUAAGUUUUCUUAGAUUUUUCCUUUUGAGAUGAUUUUUUUUGAUAUGGUUGAACCAUGAAUUUUUUUAUUAAUUUGCAAUUGUAUUAUUCAG
rnacentral:lncRNA from 1 species